rnacentral:rRNA from 1 species
UAGGGAAUCUUCGGCAAUGGACGAAAGUCUGACCGAGCAACGCCGCGUGAGUGAAGAAGGUUUUCGGAUCGUAAAACUCUGUUGUUAGAGAAGAACAAGGACGUUAGUAACUGAACGUCCCCUGACGGUAUCUAACCAGAAAGCCACGGCUAACUACGUGCCAGCAGCCGCGGUAAUACGUAGGUGGCAAGCGUUGUCCGGAUUUAUUGGGCGUAAAGCGAGCGCAGGCGGUUUCUUAAGUCUGAUGUGAAAGCCCCCGGCUCAACCGGGGAGGGUCAUUGGAAACUGGGAGACUUGAGUGCAGAAGAAGAGAGUGGAAUUCCAUGUGUAGCGGUGAAAUGCGUAGAUAUAUGGAGGAACACCAGUGGCGAAGGCGGCUCUCUGGUCUGUAACUGACGCUGAGGCUCGAAAGCGUGGGGAGCAAACAGG